rnacentral:rRNA from 1 species
AUGACCGACAUAUAUGGGGAGGUGAGCUGGGACAGUAAGGAUCGUACUUACCGGUAUAUCCGCGAUCUACAUGCUCACUCAAGGCUGCCUUGGGUCUUGUUGGUAGAUUUCAAUGAAAUUUUGCUAUUUUCAGAAAAGGAGGGAGGCCCACCUCGCCAACAUGCUCGAAUCAAGGCCUUCCAGGAUGCCCUGGCGGACUGCACGUUGGAAGAUAUGGGGUAUACGGGAGACAAAUUUACUUGGUUUCGAGGGUUCAAGGAGAGGCUGGACCGGGCUGUGACAAAUGCAGGGUGGAUGACUAUGCAUCCCCUUGCAUGAUUGUGUAAUUUGGAGAUGGGAAAGUCGGAUCACCGACCCAUCCUUUUGGAUACUGAAUACCUCGUUGAUGUUUCUGCCAAGAAACCAGCGUACAAACGACGAUUCGAAGCGAGGUGGUUGGAAGAGGAAACUGUUGAAGAGAUCGUAAGAACAGCCUGGCAGAAAGCAUCUCACUGGGGCCUUGGCCCUUCGAUCAAAGAGAAGGUUGUUGUUGUUCAUAAUGAUCUUCAUGAAUGGGACACUCGAGUGCUUAAAGGGCCUCGAAACAGAUUAAAAAAGGCCCAGAAAGAGCUUGAAGCUAUGAUGAGGGAGGAAUACACGGAGCAGAGCCGAAUCAAACAGAAAGAUCUUCUAGUCCUCAUCAAAAACUUGCUUGACCAAGAAGUGAUUUUUUUUGGCACAACGUGGAAGGGUUACAUGGCUGCGCCGAGGAUAUAG